CUUCCUCCUAAUAUCUAACCUAAACCUCCCCUGCCUCAGUUUAAUACCAUUCGCCCUUGUCCUAUCACUAUGUCUUGGACUUCAUUAAAACAGAACAAACAAACAAAAAAUCCCUGAGAAGUCCAUACUUGCAGAGAUUUUGUAAAUGCCAUGAAGAAGAGUAUGUACUUCUUUCCCAGUGUCAAUCACCAAUCUGCAAGCACUAGCACACAGCAAAGGGCAUCCUGCCCAUGCUGAACAUAGGCUAUAGCUUGAGAAUCCAUGGCUUUUAAUUUCCUGACUCUUGUGCUGCUGGCCUUGCCACCUAUUUUAUUAACACUAUGUAUCUCAAGUAUUUUUUCUUCUCUGUUAUCUUUUAUAAGCAGUGCACAUUCUGUUAAAUGCAUACUGACUGAUAUAAAACAUUUUAUAUUAUGUAUGUUUAUAAUUAAUUUCUCAAGUGUUCUUUCUUAGUAACAGGACAAGGAUUUCAAGUCAAGUUUUUUAACAAGCAAGAUCUGUCAUUAACAUAAACUUCAGCUCUGCACAUGUGCUGAAGAGACAGAAACUGCAACAUGCAGCGGGCCUGUGAUAUAAUGGGAGAUCUUCAGGAGCUGGAAGACAACAGUGGAAAAGCCCCAGAGGGAUGUGAAAAGAAGCAGCAGCAGCAGCCUAGAGCAGUGUAGCAGCCUGAAGGGAUCGGUUGCUCUCUGAAAUAACUCAGUGCUAUAGGGUAGGCUGAAAUGUAGCUUAGAAAUGUACAAGAGCUCACAUUAAAUUCAGUAAGACUACAUAAGUAAACAAACACCACUUGGCCUGCACAUGGUUGUGGAACCAGACACAAAGGUAAAGCCAUUAGGGUAGAAAAUAUAAAUCAGUAUAUAUGUAGCACAGGGGAUGCUUGGCCUUUUGAAAUCCCUAACUGCCACAGAAAGAAAGAUGUCAGAAACAAAAACUGGGCCUGGUCACAAAUUAGCUUCUAGGGUAAAUGAGCAGAGGGUGAACUUGAGUUCAUUCAGGGCAGGUUUAUCCCUCUGUUUGUGCAUAUAAAGAGCAUGGAGUGACUAGGCUAGGAAAUCAUGAUCACAGAGGGAGAACUGCAUCUCAGACUCUGAUGAGCGAGACAAAGCAUUUUUUGGAGAUUAGAUCAGACUGGACAAGCACUGGUAGUGCUAGGUGAGAGUCACAGUGGUGAGGGACUAGGAUGGCCAUCACACAAGAAGGAGGGCAGGAGCUGCUGCUAGGGCUUACUCUGAAGGUAGAAGCGUCUCUUCUUGAACUUACUUAUGCAGUUUGUCUGCCCCUGGUUUCACUCAUCAUGGUUCUGUCUAUUUGGGGGUGCCUGCAUGUCCAGGGACAGGGACAGGGACAGUAUAUUCACUCUGAUUCUAAUUCAGAGAAAUAUGAAAAACAGAAAUGCAGUUGUUUGGAUCCAAUGAGAUGCUGAACUGAGUGCGUGGGACAUACACUGUGUGUUGUAAGGAAAAGCUUCAUUCUCCUUCCUCAGGAAAGAAUAAAAAAAUUGUCAACCUCUUGUUCAUUUACUGCAGUCUGACUAGGUUUACUCUUAAGCUAGAAGCUGUGAAAGGUAUUAUUUAAAAUUACCAGCCUUAUAGUGUGUAUUUAUACAUGCCAGCCUAUAGACUUGUGUGUUGUCCCAAUUGCAAAUUAGAUUAUGCUUGGUUGUGCCUUUAGAAUCAAGAGUUAAAAAGCUUUGUAAAUACUUUGUAAGAAAGUGUAAAAAUAGGAAAAUAAUAUUCACAUUACUCUUGACUUUAAUACAAAUCACAGUUUAAUCACAUUAAAUUAGAAACAAACUCACAUCCACAAAAAAGGACAAAGCCUGCUCUUAAAAAAAGUUGGCUGUUCUUGAUUAACCAAAGAGCUGUCAACACAGGAAGUGUACAGGCAGAAUUUCUUUCAUGAUCGUUUCCCAGGUAAAGGCAUAAUAAGCUCUAAACAGCUUUAAGACAAACAGCUGAGAAUGUAAGACGAGAGGCUUAUGACCCGUUGAAGUAAUUCUCCUGGACCUAGCCCUAAACUGAAAAUUCAGGUCACAUUAUUUUCAAAAAGAAACGAUAAGUAGAUAGGAAACAAACAAACAAACAAACAAAAA